GAUGAACGCUGGCGGCGUGCCUAAUACAUGCAAGUCGAGCGAACAGACGAGGAGCUUGCUCCUCUGACGUUAGCGGCGGACGUGUGAGUAACACGUGGAUAACCUACCUAUAAGACUGGGAUAACUUCGGGAAACCGGAGCUAAUACCGGAUAAUAUAUUGAACCGCAUGGUUCAAUAGUGAAAGACGGUUUUGCUGUCACUUAUAGAUGGAUCCGCGCCGCAUUAGCUAGUUGGUAAGGUAACGGCUUACCAAGGCAACGAUGCGUAGCCGACCUGAGAGGGUGAUCGGCCACACUGGAACGGAGACACGGUCCAGACUCCUACGGGAGGCAGCAGUAGGGAAUCUUCCGCAAUGGGCGAAAGCCUGACGGAGCAACGCCGCGUGAGUGAUGAAGGUCUUCGGAUCGUAAAACUCUGUUAUUAGGGAAGAACAAAUGUGUAAGUAACUAUGCACGUCUUGACGGUACCUAAUCAGAAAGCCACGGCUAACUACGUG
rnacentral:rRNA from 1 species